rnacentral:rRNA from 1 species
GACGAACGCUGGCGGCGUGCUUAACACAUGCAAGUCGAACGAUGAACCCGGAGCUUGCUCCGGUGGAUUAGUGGCGAACGGGUGAGUAACACGUGAGUAACCUGCCCUUGACUCUGGGAUAACUGCGGGAAACUGUAGCUAAUACCGGAUACGACCCUCGGCGGCAUCGCCAGGGGGUGGAAAGAAUUUCGGUCAAGGAUGGACUCGCGGCCUAUCAGCUCGUUGGUGAGGUAACGGCUCACCAAGGCAAUGACGGGUAGCUGGUCUGAGAGGACGACCAGCCAGAAUGGAACUGCGACACGGUCCAUACUCCUACGGGAGGCAGCAGUGAGGAAUCUUCCGCAAUGGACGAAAGUCUGACGGAGCGACGCCGCGUGGUGGAUGAAGGCCUUAAUUGGUUGUAAACACCUGUUCUGAGGGACGAAAUUUUUGACGGUACCUCAGGAGAAAGUAUCGGCAAACCCUGUGCCAGCAGCCGCCGUAA